GGGACUGGGGCUCAGCGGUAGAGCACUCAUCUCCCAUGUGUGAGGCCCUGGGUUCGAUCCUCAGCACCA
rfam:Ictidomys tridecemlineatus contig004374, whole genome shotgun sequence.